CCCAUAAUAUAUUUGAUAAGGCAUCUUAUUAAUAUUUAAAGCUUCGGCACUUGAUGAUGGGUGUGCGGCUGAUUAGAUAGUUGGCGGGGUAACGGCCCACCAAGUCUACGAUCAGUAGCUGAUGUGAGAGCAUGAUCAGCCACACGGGCACUGAGACACGGGCCCGACUCCUACGGGAGGCAGCAGUAAGGAAUAUUGGACAAUGGACGAAAGUCUGAUCCAGCCAUGCCGCGUGAAGGAUUAAGGUCCUCUGGAUUGUAAACUUCUUUUAUAUGGGACGAAAAAAGGGCAUUCUUGUUCACUUGACGGUACCAUAUGAAUAAGCACCGGCUAACUCCGUG
rnacentral:rRNA from 1 species